UACGUAGGGGGCAAGCGUUGUCCGGAAUCAUUGGGCGUAAAGAGCGUGUAGGCGGUUCGGUAAGUCGGCUGUGAAAGUCCAGGGCUCAACCCUGGGAUGCCGGUCGAUACUGCCGGACUAGAAUUCGGAAGAGGUGAGUGGAAUUCCCGGUGUAGCGGUGAAAUGCGCAGAUAUCGGGAGGAACACCUAUGGCGAAGGCAGCUCGCUGGGACGUUACUGACGCUGAGACGCGAAAGCGUGGGGAGCAAACAGG
rnacentral:rRNA from 1 species